rnacentral:piRNA from 1 species
UGAUAGAUUGCCCUGAAUUUCAUCCAGAAU